rnacentral:rRNA from 1 species
UACGGGAGGCAGCAGUGGGGAAUAUUGCGCAAUGGGGGGAACCCUGACGCAGCCAUGCCGCGUGAAUGAAGAAGGCCUUCGGGUUGUAAAGUUCUUUCGGUAUUGAGGAAGGUUGAUGUGUUAAUAGCACAUCAAAUUGACGUUAAAUACAGAAGAAGCACCGGCUAACUCCGUGCCAGCAGCCGCGGUAAUACGGAGGGUGCGAGCGUUAAUCGGAAUAACUGGGCGUAAAGGGCACGCAGGCGGUUAUUUAAGUGAGGUGUGAAAGCCCCGGGCUUAACCUGGGAAUUGCAUUUCAGACUGGGUAACUAGAGUACUUUAGGGAGGGGUAGAAUUCCACGUGUAGCGGUGAAAUGCGUAGAGAUGUGGAGGAAUACCGAAGGCGAAGGCAGCCCCUUGGGAAUGUACUGACGCUCAUGUGCGAAAGCGUGGGGAGCAAACAGGAUUAGAUACCCUGGUAGUCCACGCUGUAAACGCUGUCGAUUUGGGGGUUGGGGUUUAACUCUGGCGCCCGUAGCUAACGUGAUAAAUCGACCGCCUGGGA